AACGCGAAGAACCUUACCUGGCCUUGACAUGUCUGGAAUUCUGCAGAGAUGCGGAAGUGCCUUCGGGAACCAGAACACAGGUGCUGCAUGGCUGUCGUCAGCUCGUGUCGUGAGGUGUUGGGUUAAGUCCCGCAACGAGCGCAACCCCUGUGGUCGGUUAGGAUGUCCGACGAGACUGCCACGCUAAACGUGGAGGAAGGUGGGGAUGACGUCAAGUCAGCACGGCCCUUAUGUCCUGGGCGACACACACGCUACAAUGGGCGAGACAACGGGUAGCCAACCCGCGAGGGGGAGCCAAUCCCAGCAAACUCGCUCUCAGUUCGGAUGGCAGGCUGCAACCCGCCUGCCUGAAGCCGGAGUUGCUAGUAACCGUGGGUCAGCACACCACGGUGAAUACGUUCCCGGGCCUUGUACACACCGGUACUA
rnacentral:rRNA from 1 species